rnacentral:rRNA from 1 species
GAUGAACGCUGGCGGCGUGCCUAAUACAUGCAAGUCGAGCGAACAGACGAGGAGCUUGCUCCUCUGACGUUAGCGGCGGAAGGGUGAGUAACACGUGGAUAACCUACCUAUAAGACUGGGAUAACUUCGGGAAACCGGAGCUAAUACCGGAUAAUAUAUUGAACCGCAUGGUUCAAUAGUGAAGGACGGCUUUGCUGUCACUUAUAGAUGGAUCCGCGCCGCAUUAGCUAGUUGGUAAGGUAACGGCUUACCAAGGCAACGAUGCGUAGCCGACCUGAGAGGGUGAUCGGCCACACUGGAACUGAGACAGGGUCCAGACUCCUACGGGAGGCAGCAGUAGGGAAUCUUCCGGAAUGGGCGAAAGCCUGACGGAGCAACGCCGCGUGAGUGAUGAAGGUCUUCGGAUCGUAAAACUCUGUUAUUAGGGAAGAACAAAUGUGUAAGUAACUAUGCACGUAUUGACGGUACCUAAUCAGAAAGCCACGGCUAACUACGUG